GAUGAACGCUGACAGAAUGCUUAACACAUGCAAGUCUUUGGCGAAGCUGUGCUUGCACAGCCUAGCCAAGGCGGACGGGUGAGUAACGCGUAAGGAACUUGCCCUGCAGUCAGGGAUAACAGACGGAAACGACUGAUAAGACCUGGUAAAGUCAGGCGGACUCAUGUCCAGCCUGAUGAAAAGAGAUGCUGCAGGAGAGCCUUGCGUCCUAUUAGCUUGUUGGUGGGGUAACGGCCCACCAAGGCGAUGAUAGGUAGCCGGCCUGAGAGGGGGGACGGCCACAAGGGGACUGAGAUACGGCCCUUACUCCUACGGGAGGCAGCAGUGGGGAAUAUUGGACAAUGGGGGCAACCCUGAUCCAGCAAUUCUGUGUGCACGAUGAAGGUUUUCGGAUUGUAAAGUGCUUUCAGCAGGGAAGAAAAAAAUGACGGUACCUGCAGAAGAAGCGACGGCUAAAUACGUG
rnacentral:rRNA from 1 species